CNGAUUUAUUGGGCGUAAAGGGAGCGCAGGCGNUCAGGAAAGUCUGGAGUAAAAGGCUAUGGCUCAACCAUAGUGUGCUCUGGAAACUNUCUGACUUGAGUGCAGAAGGGGAGAGUGGANUUCCAUGUGUAGCGGCGAAAUGCGUAGAUAUAUGGAGGAACACCAGUGGCGAAAGCGGCUCUCUGGUCUGUCACUGACGCUGAGGCUCGAAAGCGUGGGUAGCGAACAGGAUUAGAUACCCUGGUAGUCCACGCCGUAAACGAUGAGUGCUAGGUGUUAGGCCCUUUCCGGGGCUUAGUGCCGGAGCUAACGCAAUAAGCACUCCGCCUGGGGAGUACGACCGCAAGGUUGAAACUCAAAGGAAUUGACGGGGGCCCGCACAAGCGGUGGAGCAUGUGGUUUAAUUCGAAGCAACGCGAAGAACCUUACCAGGUCUUGACAUCCCGAUGCUAUUCUUAGAGAUAGGAAGUUACUUCGGUACAUCGGAGACAGGUGGUGCAUGGUUGUCGUCAGCUCGUGUCGUGAGAUGUUGGGUUAAGUCCCGCAACGAGCGCAACCCUUAUUGUUAGUUGCCAUCAUUAAGUUGGGCACUCUAGCGAGACUGCCGGUAAUAAACCGGAGGAAGGUGGGGAUGACGUCAAAUCAUCAUGCCCCUUAUGACCUGGGCUACACACGUGCUACAAUGGUCGGUGCAACGAGUUGCGAGCCGGUGACGGCAAGCUAAUCUCUGAAAGCCGAUCUCAGUUCGGAUUGGAGGCUGCAACUCGCCUCCAUGAAGUCGGAAUCGCUAGUAAUCGCGGAUCAGCACGCCGCGGUGAAUACGUUCCCGGGCCUUGUACACACCGCCCGUCACACCACGAGAGUUUGUAACACCCGAAGUCGGUGAGGUANCCUUUUAGGG
rnacentral:rRNA from 1 species